UCCUUCAGCUCCGGUGAAGUUCCUGGACAAGGCAAGGACACUGCUCUUUUUGAAGAAACUCUGCUUGGCCGCGUUCAGAAGACUUUUGUCUGGGUCUGCUCACUGGAAGGCGGAAAGCUGACUUGUCUUAAAUUUUUGAGGACCCAGCAGUGCCUGUGGGUGGAAGGGAAAACUAACGAAGAAGCCCCUAUGGAAGCUUUUGGGGAAUGACACCAUUGUGAGCCACAUCCUUCUGAAGGAUGGGGUUCUUGGUACAAGGGCCAUGAUUAGAGCAGGUAGGAGAGGCACCGGGUAAGUUAUUCUGCUUCUGGCUGCCUGGUGGGAUUUUACUGACUAUCAGAGAUGACCAGCUAAGCUGAUGGCAUAUAAUGGGGACAGGAUGAGGAAGUGGAACAGCAGACUGACUCUCCCUCUUAACUUCUGGAAGAAUGCACGGGUCACACAGGUGUGUCCCCACGGGCAUCAGGACGCAAGUACCAUGUUUGUGUGUGAAGAUGGAGUUAGCCCCUAUGAGGAGCAUCAGGCUUUCCCCCCAAAGCCCAAACGUUUCCCCUACCGGUCUCCUGGUCCCUGAGCUUCCUACAUCAGAACUUCUCCUCUGAGUCAAGACUUUAAAGAUGCUGAUAAAAUGCAAAUCUCUGAUCUAUGAUCUUGAUGGAUAGGCCAGAAUUCAGUCACUCCUUCGGUGGACAACUAUGACUUCCAGUUCUCGGUCAGACACCUAUGCGAGGCCCUGGGGCUACAAAACUGAAAACCAGUGGACGCUUCUCUCAAGUGUCAAAAUGUAAUUUGGAAAAAGUUGAAAACAUGCUUUUCAUUACAAACACAGAAUGAACGUGUGUCACAGAUUUUAUUUAACAUAUUUAUUAAUGGAUGAGAGAACCAGUGAAAUGGUAAAACUAGUUCUGAGAGCACUGGAAGAAUUUAGAUUGAUAUAGUCCAUCAAGAAAGGUAUUUUUAUUGAUUGAUUUUGUUUUUUUGUGAGGAAGAUUGGCCCUGAGCUAACAUCUGUUGCCAAUCUUCCUCUUUUUUUUUUUCUCCCCAAAGCCCCAGCACAUAGUUGUAUAAUCUAGGUGUAGGUCCUUCUAGUUGUGCUAUGCGGGACGCUGCCUCGGCAUGGCCUGAUGAGUGGUGCGUGUGUCCAUGUCCAGGAUCUCAACUGGUGAACCCCGGACUGCUGAAGUGGAGCAUGCGAACUUAACAAGUUGGCCAUGGGGCCGGCCCCCAAGAAAGGUGUUUUUAAAAAGAAAGAAAGAGGAGAGAAAGAAAAGAUUAUCAGCCUAGAUAAAAAUUGGUUAAUGUCCUACAGGGCAGUAAAAGCAUAACCACUGGCAUUUUCUUCCUUUGCCAGGCAGAAAUCUACAGCUAAACAUGUAAUUCCACAGUGUCUAGGCUCUGAUCCAAUCGUAUGGAGCAUAAGUACAUUCUGCCAGAGAGUUAAUAACCCCUUAGUGGGUUUGUUAAGCGAGGCCCUGGCACAACAUUGAAGGACAUGCUGCACUUUCUUUUGAUUUCCAACAUUUUGCUAAUUUUUUCCUAACACAAG
rnacentral:lncRNA from 1 species